AAAAAGGGCAUCUUUUCUCCUACAAACCGAUGUAUCAUACUGAGCAGAGCAGGUUUCGGAUGUAAAAAAAAAAUCAGGAUGAUGUAGAUCUAAAAAAAAAUUUUUUUAUAUGUUCACUCUAUUUAUUUGUGCCAUUCACACAAUGUUUACUUUUUUUUUUCUUCCCAAGUUUAGGUGUCCAGGUACAGAAAACAACUAAAUGUAAAAUAGCAUAGUCUCCAUUAUUUAAAAAAAAAAAAAAAAAAAAAAACACCCCACACACCUUCAACAUUUCUCACAUUUUGCUAUAGUUUAGAAUAUGGUAAUAAAGUUACAAGAACAAAUGUCAGAACUUUGAUAGAAAGGUACGUAAUGGGUGGCUAUCAACCAAAACAUCAGACAAGGGUUGUAACACACAGAAUCGGCAACAGAAGUUUGAAGUCGUUACGUUUUUUUUAAAUGGAUAUAUGUGCAAAUCAGGAGAGAUGCAGGGGUAAGAAACCAGAGGAUGCAUUGAGCAGGGUGAUGACCGAUUUGAUAUGGGCUUGCUCAGUACUGCCGGUGGGGUGACCAGGGUGGAGGAAGUUGCACAUACCUCUGGGUAAAUGCAGAAGAGGAGACCUUGAAGGAGGGAUCGCUGGAGGAACACAGGAGUCUAGGAUGACCGUGCUGACAAAAGGAUGACUGAAUAGAGAGCUGGUGCUGGUGAUUAAAUGAUUGGAUUGUGAACAUGUGCUGGUGAUGAGUGAGGGAGUGCGAUGUGGGUGAUGAGCCUGACCAAUUGUGACAAUGGUGCUGGAGGCUACGGCCCUGCAUGGGGAGCAGGUGUUGGUGCCUGUCCUGCCUAAAAGGCCUAAACAACAAGCACAAAGAAAAUGUUGCUGACAUCUGAAGUGCUCAAGCUCAGUCAAGUGUUGCCCUCCAACACAUAUCUGCAUCUCCAAAAGUCUCCGGGCUUCCUCUCAGGGGAACACAGAGAAACACUUCCUCCUGCUGUGUUAGAGAGUUCGAGUCCUGAUUGCAAAUGUGAUGUAGUUAUUGAAUGUAAUCUAAAUUCAACUUUCGCUGCUCUUCUUAGAAGUACUGAGCCCAAGCCCAGAUCAGUAUUUCUAUUUAUUUCAAUCAGAUACACUAUGAUAUA